CUGGCUCAGAACGAACGCUGGUGGCGUGUCUAUACAUGCAAGUCGAGCGAGGCAGCAAUGCCUAGCGGCGAACGGGUGAGUAACGCGUAAGCAAUCUGCCCCAUAUCAGGAAAUACCCGUGCCAACGCGCGGUUAAUGUCCAGGAGCGUGGCCUUCCGCAUGGGAGGUUGACAAGAGAUUUAUCGGUAUGGGAUGAGCUUGCGUCCGAUUAGCUAGUUGGCGGGCAACGGCCCACCAAGGCGACGAUCGGUAGCCGGCCUGAGAGGGUGAUCGGCCACAUUGGGACUGAGAUACGGCCCAGACUCCUACGGGAGGCAGCAGUAGGGAAUAUUGCACAAUGGGGGAAACCCUGAUGCAGCAACGCCAACCGUGUGGGAAGAAGCAUUUCGGUGUGUAAACCACUGUCGUGAGGGAAUAAGGCGUCUUCUCGGAGACGUUGAAUGUACCUCGAAAGGAAGCACCGGCAAACUUCGUGCCAGCAGCGGC
rnacentral:rRNA from 1 species